AAGCGGCUGUGGAGUGUAUAGAAGUGAGAAUGCCGGAAUGAGUAGCGCGAAUGCAGUGAGAAUCUGCAUGGCCGAAAGCCUCAGGUUUCUGGAGGAAGGUUCGUCCGCUCCAGGUUAGUCGGGAGCUAAGGUGAGGCCGGAAGGCGUAGCCGAUGCACAGACGGUAGAGAUUCCGUCACCACCAAAAGAGUUAAGCACAGGGACACAUUUGAAGUCUCAGAGCCGGGUGUUGGUUCCGGUAGAGAUCGAGGGAAGUUAGUACCGAAGUCUGAGAUGGAAGAUGGCGAGAAAAGCUGUGUGUAUUUCUGAGGUGCCCGUACCGCAAACCGACACAGGUAGGUAGGAAGAAGAUUCUAAGGCCAACGGGAGAAGGGUUGUUAAGGAACUCGGCAAAUUGACCCCGUAACUUCGGGAGAAGGGGUGCUCCAGAGAUGGAGCCGCAGAGAAUCGGCCCAAGCAACUGUUUACCAAAAACACAGGUUUGUGCUAAAUCGAAAGAUGACGUAUACGAGCUGACGCCUGCCCGGUGCUGGAAGGUUAAGAGGAGAUGUGCAAGCAUUGAAUCGAAGCCCCAGUGAACGGCGGCCGUAACUAUAACGGUCCUAAGGUAGCGAAAUUCCUUGUCAGGUAAGUUCUGACCCGCAUGAAAGGCGUAAUGAUUUGGGCACUGUCUCAACAGCCCGCCCGGCGAAAUUGUAGUACCGGUGAAGAUGCCGGUUACCCGCGACAAGACGGAAAGACCCCAUGGAGCUUUACUGUAGCCUAAUAUUGGGUUUCGAUGUUGCAUGCACAGGAUAGAUGGGACUCUGGGAAACCAAGGCUUUGGCUUUGGCGGAGAGGCCGUUGGGAUACCAUCCUUGCGAUAUUGGAAUUCUAACCUGCGGCUCUGAAUCGAGUCGGGGGACAUUGUUAGGUGGGCAGUUUGACUGGGGCGGUCGCCUCCUAAAGAGUAACGGAGGCGUUCAAAGGUUCGCUCAGCUUGAACGGAAAUCAAGCAAAAGAGUGCAAACGCAGAAGCGAGCCUAACUGCGAGACUGACGGGUCGAGCAGUAACGAAAGUUGGAGUUAGUGAUCCGGUGGUAUGUGAGUGGAAAUGCCAUCGCUCAACGGAUAAAAG
rnacentral:rRNA from 1 species